rnacentral:rRNA from 1 species
GGGCAUCGGGAGGGAAGCUUGCUUUCCUUGCCGGCGACCGGCGCACGGGUGAGUAACACGUAUGCAACCUGCCCUCUUCAGGGGGACAACCUUCCGAAAGGGAGGCUAAUCCCGCGUAUAUCGGUUUCGGGCAUCCGAGAUCGAGGAAAGAUUCAUCGGAAGAGGAUGGGCAUGCGGCGCAUUAGCUUGACGGCGGGGUAACGGCCCACCGUGGCGACGAUGCGUAGGGGUUCUGAGAGGAAGGUCCCCCGCACUGGUACUGAGACACGGACCAGACUCCUACGGGAGGCAGCAGUGAGGAAUAUUGGUCAAUGGGAGAGAUCCUGAACCAGCCAAGCCGCGUGAGGGAAGACGGCCCUAUGGGUUGUAAACCUCUUUUGUCGGAGAACAAAACCCGGGACGUGUCCCGGACUGCGUGUGUCCGAAGAAAAAGCAUCGGCUAACUCCGUGCCAGCAGCCGCGGUAAUACGGAGGAUGCGAGCGUUAUCCGGAUUUAUUGGGUUUAAAGGGUGCGUAGGCGGUCCGUUAAGUCAGCGGUAAAAUUGCGGGGCUCAACCCCGUCGAGCCGUUGAAACUGGCAGACUUGAGUUGGCGAGAAGUACGCGGAAUGCGCGGUGUAGCGGUGAAAUGCAUAGAUA